rnacentral:rRNA from 1 species
GACAGAGGUCCCGAGCGUUAGGCGGAAUCACUGGGCUUAAAGCGUGUGUAGGCGGAUCGUUAAGUGCCUUGUGAAAUCCCAUGGCUUAACCAUGGAACUGCUUGGCAUACUGGCGAUCUUGAGCCACUUAGGGGCAACCGGAACAAAUGGUGGAGCGGUGAAAUGCGUAGAUAUUGGGUGGAACACCGGUGGCGAAAGCGGCUCACUGGCUCGGUUCUGACGCUGAGGCGCGAAAGCGUGGGGAGCAAACAGG